GGGGGGGAAUUAUAUUCAGCACCAAUGUUCCUCCUAAUUCUUCAUGUCUCUGAGUAAACACACAAACUCCCUGAGUAUUCACCUGACCUCUGUGAGCAACAUCACAUGUUCACACUGAGGCUACAUUACGCCUGUCCAACACCUGAGAUUAUAACAAGUUACAUGGUUUACUAAAAGAAUCAAAUUACAGCAAUAAUCUCUUUUAGAUUACCUAGUUUAGAAACAAUGAAUUUAGCCUGAUUCCAUGAAAAGGACAACAGUAGAGUCUCACUAUUGGACUGUAAUGUAGCCAUGGGGAAUGGUGAAAGCAUUUCUGCUGGAAUGUCAGUCCUUUUUGUGAUACUUUGUGUUUCUAUACACUGAGGAUGUGGUUGGUAUGGCUUUGUCCAGUGAAGAAGAUCUGAACUAAAGCAUGCUGGAUCCCUUCCCUUCCAUUGCUGGCAGUAAGGUCAUCAUGGUCUGCUCCAUCCUCCUUCCCUGUGUCGCAUCUAUACACAAGGAAACAUUUGUGACUCCAUGUCCCAGCAGGCUUUGCACCUGCCUUUCUCUUCUGUGCACAGGCUCCAGCAGUCUUAGCUCCUCCCACGCAGUAUAAAGAGAGUGGAGCUCAAACCAUGCUCCUCUUUAGCCGCUGAUUUCUGAGAGCACAUUCUGACUGCUUUUGAGACACUUCCUGGCAAAUCCUCCUCCCCCACCUCUCUGGAAGCCAUCAAUGCACGGUCUUGCAGUCUUUGGCUCUAUAAUUACUGCCAACACAACAUGGAUACCAGAUUGAAUGCUCCUGUAAGAAUGCUAAGCUCUGAUCAAGAUGUCUUUCUCUGGACCCAGGACAUUGUGACAGUGGCUGAGGUCUAACUGUGGCAGGAUCCAAAGAGCCUGAAAGCUUCCCAUACCUCCACCCUCAGCAGACUUCAGCUCCUUGGCCUCCUGGAUUUGAGCAACAAGACUUUGGAGCCUUUGUGACGCAGCCGUUCUGCGCUCCUCCAAAACACUCCUUUGUUCUCUUGAAGGUAGAACAUCUUGUCAGUUUCCUCCUGGGCUUUUCAUGCGGCACACAGCACUUCCAGUUAGCUGUGCAGAGCUGCCUGCUCAGCCCGCUUUUCUGACACAUCCUGUUCCUCUGCAGAAGUCUGCCUACUUGUUGCAGGGCUUCUACUAUCUCCUCAUUCCCCGUGAUCAGCUCCAUUCUCUGCUGAAGUUCUCUCCUACUGCAGAUGAGACCAGAGUAAAACCCACAUGAGGUCCAUGUACCGCUGAUCACACAAUAAAUCAGGUCACAGAAAAGGCCUGAAGCCUUGUAAUGUGUAGCCUGCUGCAUGUCUUCAUUACUUUGCUUGUCCGUUUAGCUAACCUUUGAUAAUAAAAUAAUAAAAUUAUGUUUUAUUGACCAUCUUCCAGCCAAAAUAUGUCAAGAAAUUACUUCUCUGUGAAUUUUGAGGUCUUUCUACGACUAACCGCAGCAAUUACCUAAGUUGACAGAUUUUAUUUCUAAUAAGACCUUAACAGAGAUGCUGUUCUUAACAAAUGAAGUAAUUUUUCUCCAGACUGUAAGAAAAUGAUUUCUGGAUGUUAUGACAGAAGUUCUCACUAAUGUAGGAAGACAGUUUUUCUAAAAGGGAUUUGCUGAUGGGCUCACCCCCCCCCCCUCCCCACAUUACAGUAGAAUCCAUUAAGAUUUAUAUUUAAAAACUGUUUAAAUGCAUACUUUGAAACAUAGAAGUUACAGGAGCCACAUGUAUUUUGCUGCAUUUCAAGAACUAUGUAAAUAAAGCAAGUUACACAUUCCCAGGCAGGUUAUAAAAAGUAACAAAGAUUAAUUUCUUCUAAUAUAUCUAACCACUCUUAUUUACAUUUUUGCCUAUAUUGCUCCUUUGUGAUUCUUGCAAUCAUCUAUUGAGUCUACUUUUAUAUCUUUAAAUAUUUAAAUUUUCCUGAACUCCUUGUGUGAAAAACGUUGGUAAAAUAUAGUUGCUUUUUAAAAUAAAAUAAGUGUGUACAAAUACUCUUAAUGUGACUUAACCCCAAGACAAACGUUUCUGACAAAGAAUAUUUUAUUUUAAAAAAUUGCUGAACUGAAAACAGUUUAAAUACAAUUACUAUAACCAAAUCAAAUGUAGAGCAUAUUUGUUGUUUUAGAGGUAAAUAAAGACUAUGAAAAUGUUUGGAACCUCUAGUUGUGUCACUACAAACUCCCUUUAUUCCCCCAUUCAGGUGUUUAAACACCUUUUGAACUAAACAGAGCCUUUUAAUGAAGAACAAAUGCAGAGCUGGUUUACAAGUGGAAGAUGAUCUUAGAGUUUGUUUGUCAUCCAUGCCUCCAAGAAUAAACUGUGUGGGGAGAGACAGGCUCAUCCUUCUCACUAAUUGUCAAGA